UUUGUAUACUCACUGCUACGAACAGACUAUUAACACUACGAGAGUUUAGGAACUCCACGAUCUUCUCUUAUUUUAUUCCAAUUUCUGUCCUUUUAAAAAAAAAAAUUUAUGUCUUUCAUGGUGUAAUUGAGUAAGUGAGUGUGGAACAAAGAUUGAUUUUGGAGUUGGGUCAUUUUUCGUUUAGGGUUUAUGUGAUUUUUAAUUCUUUAAUAUCAGAUAUGUAUUUGUUUGGCUAUCACAAUUUAAGGGUUUUUCAGUUCUCAUGCAUGAACUUUGCGUCAUUGGAACUGAUUCAUUGAUUCUCUGGAGUUUUUCCCUUUGGAUUUUAUAUAUUUUCAACUAAUGGAUAACUUUGAUCAGAAGCUUGGUCCAGAAUUUUUCAAGAAUCUCUCAGCGGAAGCUGUUACGCCAUUAAAUGUGGUUCAUGAAGAGAUAUAUGAAAGUUCUUCGAAGCGACCGAAAACGACAUCCAAAGUCUGGGAUAUUUUCGAGAAACUUCCAGCGCAACAAGGAGAUUCAAAGGCGAUAUGUAAGUUAUGCAGGAGAAUAUAUACUGCUAAAACUACUAGUGGUACUUCUCACUUGAGACGUCAUAUUGAAGCUUGCGUUAAACGUGGUAAUCAUGAAGUAGAUCAGCGCUCAAUAGAAGCAUGCUUUAAACCUGUUAAACGGAAUGCCAAUCGUCUCACUCUUUCGCAUGACACCUUGAUUGCUGCUACUACAUCCUUAAAGAACUAUAAACUAGAUGUCGAUGAGAUUCAUCGGGCGAUUGCAAUGAUGAUCAUUGUUGAUGAACAACCAUUCAGUGUGGUUGAAGAUGCGGGUUUUAGACGUUUAUUGAGUGCUGCAUGUCCUGAAUUUCCGGUGCUGAGUAGGAGUUCUAUUAAAAGGGAUAUAAUUUCCAUAUACGUGAAGGAGAGAGAGAAUAUUCGUGAAUUGUUAGCAACAUGUCCUGGUCGGAUUUGUUUGACAUCCAGCACAUGGAAAUCCGAUUCCGAUGAUCAUUUCAAUUGUGUCACCACGCAUUUCAUUGACCAUGAAUGGAGGUUGCAGAAGAGGAUUUUAAGUUUCAAGCUUAUGCCUCCUCCAUAUGAUAGUUUGUCUGUUGCUGAUGAGAUAGCUUUGUGUAUGGUUCAAUGGAACAUCGAGCACAAGGUUUUCAGUGUUACGCUGGAGAAUUUGUCGAGUGAUGAUUGUGUGGCUGACAUGCUGAGAUCACGACUUGCUGCAAAAAAGUAUCUCCCUUGUAAGGGUGUGUUUUUUCAUGUCAGCUGUUUCUUUCGCAUUUUGAAUUCGAUUGUGCAAGCUGGUUUGAACCUAGUUGUUGAUAUCAUUGCAAAGUUGAGACUCGGUAUUAAGUAUGUGCAGCAAUCUCCCCAUAGGAAGAAGAACUUUUACAUAAUUGCUAAGACUUUGAACUUGGAUACUCAAAGAAAGUUGUGUCUCGAUACCCCUGCCAGAUGGAAUUCCACAUAUAACAUGAUAGAAGUUGCUUUCUGUUAUAACAAUGCAUUCAUGUACUUGGCAGAACAAGACAAAAACUUUCUACACAAAUUAUCAGAAGAUGAGUGGGAAAAGUUGAGUGUCUUAUACAAAUUUCUGAAAGUCUUUUACGAGGUGACGUGUGUAUUUUUUAGAAACAGACAGCCGACUUCAAAUUUGUAUUUCAAAGCAGCAUGGAAAGUUCAUAGUCGCUUAUUUGAUAUGGUUAGAGGUCCAGAAAAUUUCAUGACUCGCAUGGUCAGAGAAAUGCACUCAAAAUUGAACCAAUACUGGUCAGCUUAUAAUUUGAUCUUGUCAUGUGCUGCGAUUUUGGAUCCUAGAUGCAAGAUUAAGUUUGUUGAAUAUUGUUACACCAAACUGUAUGGUAGUGGUGCUCAGAAAUAUGUUAGUGUAAGCGUUAACACUUUGUAUGGCUUGUUUGAUGAAUACAUGCAAAAUUCAGCACGCCCUUCUCAGACUACCUUAUUAUCAACUGCUGCCAGUAAAAUAUCCAAUGAUAAAGACAAUAACGAUGGGUUUGAAGACUAUGAAACCUUUCAAAGUGCCAGGUUCCGAACUCAAGUGGAGAAGUCUCAACUCGACCUUUAUUUAGAAGAACCAAGCCAUGAUCUAAACAGUGAAAUAGAUGUCUUGGAAUAUUGGACUUUAUGUUCCUUGAGGUAUCCAGAGCUUUCAAAAAUGGCCCGCGAUGUUUUAACCAUUCCAGUGUCCACCAUUGCUUCUGACAGUGCAUUUGACAUUAGUCCCCAAGUGAUUAGCACUGAUCGUAGCUCUUUAAAACCAAAGAUGUUACAAGCAUUGGUUUGUCUUCAAGAUUGGAUGUUGGCUUCUGAUAGAACAAGAGGUUUAGGCUCUAUGGAAAGCAAACCUGAAGAUGAUAGCUCCAGUUCUAGUGAUGGUGAUGAUGAUUAUUAGCUUAUCUGAAGUGUUGCAGAAGAGCCAUCUUGCUUCUAGGAAAUUCUGACAACUGAUUAACAAUGAGGUUCGAUUUACAUGGAUACGGAGCGGAGUUAUAAACAAUUGAUGAAUCAUCUCCAGCAUAAUGUUCAAAGAAAAUGGAGCAAUGGACUCAUAAAAAGGGACCCCAAAACUCCAAAAGUCAAAUGAUAAUAUAUGGCAUUAACUGCCCCAGGAUCGUACACAUAAUGCAGCUCUCUGAAAGGCCUGAUUUUGGAGCUGAUUUGUUUAUUCGUUUCUCAAAGAGCUUAGCACAAGCAUUGGACAAACUGGUAAUGGUGUUAAUCUUUCCAUGCUAAUAUUUGUGCUUUCAUCUUCUUCAAACUAGGAGCUUGUUGAAGGAAACGAAAAGCUUUUGCUUGAACUUGAUGCUGGUGAUUAGGCUUUUUUGAGGGGUUAUUGUCCAAAGAUUUGUAUAAAAUUUGUUCGAACGCGAGAAUAAACAAGCAGAUCAAAGAGCUGUUCGAACAUGGGUUGAAACAUCAACACCAAGACAUUUAAGGUCUCAACAAUCUUCUUCUUUGACUUUUUGACAAAACAGAAACAAAUGAUGAAAGGUAAACUCCUCUUGUCACCAUGCCAGAAACAUAUGAGAUACCAAAAUAAAAUGGCAUAAGUAACUCAUAAAAAGGAUGUUCAAUACAUCAGAAAAAUGAUGACCCAAUGUUGGAACUCUUUAUGAUAUUUUAUCAACUGCCCACAUGAUUUUUUUAUCAGGAAUUGGGUGAUUCUGUA